GCGGCGUGCCUAAUACAUGCAAGUAGAACGCUGAAGAGAGGAGCUUGCUCUUCUUGGAUGAGUUGCGAACGGGUGAGUAACGCGUAGGUAACCUGCCUUGUAGCGGGGGAUAACUAUUGGAAACGAUAGCUAAUACCGCAUAACAAUGGAUGACACAUGUCAUUUAUUUGAAAGGGGCAAUUGCUCCACUACAAGAUGGACCUGCGUUGUAUUAGCUAGUAGGUGAGGUAACGGCUCACCUAGGCGACGAUACAUAGCCGACCUGAGAGGGUGAUCGGCCACACUGGGACUGAGACACGGCCCAGACUCCUACGGGAGGCAGCAGUAGGGAAUCUUCGGCAAUGGGGGCAACCCUGACCGAGCAACGCCGCGUGAGUGAAGAAGGUUUUCGGAUCGUAAAGCUCUGUUGUAAGUCAAGAACGAGUGUGAGAGUGGAAAGUUCACACUGUGACGGUAGCUUACCAGAAAGGGACGGCUAACUACGUGCCAGCAGCCGCGGUAAUACGUAGGUCCCGAGCGUUGUCCGGAUUUAUUGGGCGUAAAGCGAGCGCAGGCGGUUUGAUAAGUCUGAAGUUAAAGGCUGUGGCUCAACCAUAGUUCGCUUUGGAAACUGUCAAACUUGAGUGCAGAAGGGGAGAGUGGAAUUCCAUGUGUAGCGGUGAAAUGCGUAGAUAUAUGGAGGAACACCGGUGGCGAAAGCGGCUCUCUGGUCUGUAACUGACGCUGAGGCUCGAAAGCGUGGGGAGCGAACAGGAUUAGAUACCCUGGUAGUCCACGCCGUAAACGAUGAGUGCUAGGUGUUGGAUCCUUUCCGGGAUUCAGUGCCGCAGCUAACGCAUUAAGCACUCCGCCUGGGGAGUACGACCGCAAGGUUGAAACUCAAAGGAAUUGACGGGGGCCCGCACAAGCGGUGGAGCAUGUGGUUUAAUUCGAAGCAACGCGAAGAACCUUACCAGGUCUUGACAUCCCGAUGCUAUUUCUAGAGAUAGAAAGUUACUUCGGUACAUCGGUGACAGGUGGUGCAUGGUUGUCGUCAGCUCGUGUCGUGAGAUGUUGGGUUAAGUCCCGCAACGAGCGCAACCCCUAUUGUUAGUUGCCAUCAUUCAGUUGGGCACUCUAGCGAGACUGCCGGUAAUAAACCGGAGGAAGGUGGGGAUGACGUCAAAUCAUCAUGCCCCUUAUGACCUGGGCUACACACGUGCUACAAUGGUUGGUACAACGAGUUGCGAGCCGGUGACGGCAAGCUAAUCUCUUAAAGCCAAUCUCAGUUCGGAUUGUAGGCUGCAACUCGCCUACAUGAAGUCGGAAUCGCUAGUAAUCGCGGAUCAGCACGCCGCGGUGAAUACGUUCCCGGGCCUUGUACACACCGCCCGUCACACCACGAGAGUUUGUAACACCCGAAGUCGGUGAGGUAACCUUAUGGAGCCAGCCGCCUAAGGUGGGAUAGAUGAUUG
rnacentral:rRNA from 1 species